CCAUAUCACAUUGAAACAUCGGCUCUCUUCUGAUCACUGAAGUUAAGCAACAUUGAGCCUGAUCAGUACUUAAGUGGGUGAUCACUUUACUUUGGAAUAUCAGCUGUUGUAAG